rnacentral:rRNA from 1 species
UACGAAGGGGGCUAGCGUUGUUCGGAAUUACUGGGCGUAAAGCGCGCGCAGGCGGUUCUUUAAGUCAGGGGUGAAAGCCCAGAGCUCAACUCUGGAAUUGCCUUUGAAACUAGAGAACUUGGGUACGGGAGAGGUGAGUGGAAUUCCGAGUGUAGCGGUGAAAUGCGUAGAUAUCGGAAGGAACACCAGUGGCGAAAGCGGCUUCCUGGUCCAGCACCGACGUUCAGGCACGAAAGCGUGGGGAGCAAACAGG